rnacentral:misc_RNA from 1 species
GAAAUUUUCUAUAAUUUCAAUCAGAUCUAAGAUUUUUCUUGCGGUUGAAUCUUUUAUCUGUGAAAACUAGAAGAAAAGUUUUGUUUCUGAUUUUGAAAUAUAAAUGGGGCUUUCGUUUUUGGCUGGCCUCAUUUUGUAUAUAAUUUCCAACUACAUUUUGCUCUUGGUUUUUUAAAGAAUUUUAAUUCUUGAAAAUUUUAUUGUUCUUCCCAGAUUUAUAUUGCUUUUAACGUUUCAAAUUUGAAAAAAAAAAAUAAUAAUAGGUGAAAGAUGGCUGGAAAAGGA